CCCCCUUCCUCUCUCCUCUGCCGGUGCCGCUGGCCGGAGUGAGAGAGGAAGGGGAGUAUGUGCGUCCCUACCUAGUAGACUCUUUCCCGUCGUCCUUUCGGCGGUUCUUCUUGGAGAAAUCCCGUCCAUGGCUGCCUUGGAAUCCCCUUCUCUGUCUCCAGCGGAAGAGGCGAACAAGAGCCAGGCCUGGAGUGCUCCUCCUCUUCUUCUGUUUCUUUCCAAAAAAGCCACCUCCUGGUUGAUUUGCUCUCCGGUGAAUUUUUUUUCCUCCACCUUCCCGCU
rnacentral:lncRNA from 1 species